CUGCUAAUAACAUUUUGCCUUGAGAUUUUUCCAGGCUCUAUGGAAAGGAAAAGUUCCCUAUAAAGUGAGGGCGUUUCUCAUCGCCUCCUAGCUGAUGGAACUUUUCGCAGCAGCCUGGGUCUCCAGCCUGAGGAUGUGGCUGGACCUCAGCCUGGAUGUUCCCAGCUCUCCCUCACUGCCUGCAUUCCUCUGACUGGCCAGUCGGAUCUGGUAUUUUUCCACCCUCCUCCUGGGGCGGCUUCCAUAUCACUCAGACAGCUGCCGCCACAUCCCGCAGCUUCAGAAGCGGACGUAAGGCGCAUUGAAGACCUUUCUGGGGUGGAUUUUCUAAAGGAAGCUGAGCCCCAGGCCUAUGAAGUUCCUAACGCACCCGAUGACCCCCACUGCAGGAAGAGGACACUGGAGCAGAGGAAACGACAUGGCCCAGGGCAAGCCAGUCACUAGGAGGAGUGGAAGAGCAAGUAAGAGGAUGACCCCACCUGAUGGGAACACCUCAACUGGGGUUGUGAUUGGCCCCCGGCACUGUUCUCUUGGGCAGCUGCUCCCCUGUCCGCAGAGAUGUCACGGCUCCCAGCAAGCAUGGCUGAUGAGUAGAGCAGGUCCGUGCCUGGGAUCCAAACCUGCAAACCCGGGCCACCGAAGCAGAGCACAUGGAACUUUAACCACUGGGCCACGGGGCCAGCCCCUAAUAAAUUUGGAAUAUUUUUUACAUGUUAAAUUCAUCUGGGGUUGCUAUGGACUGAAUAUUUGUGUCCUCCCAAAAUUCCUAUGUUGAAAUCUUAAGCACCAAGCUAUUAGGAGGUGGGGCGUUUGGGGAGGUGACUAGGUCAUGAAGGCAGAGCCCUCAGGAACGGGAUUAAAGCGCUUAUAAAAGGGACCCCAGAGAGCUCCCUUGCCCCUUCCACCAUGUGAGGACACAGCAGGAAGGUAGCAGAAGAGAGCUCUCACCAGACACUGAUCCGCCAGUGACCUGACCUUGGCCUUCCAGCCUCCAGAACUGUGAGAAAUAAAUGUUUGUUGUCUAAACCGCCCAACCUCUGGUGAUUUGUUACAGCAGCCCCGACAGGGAUAUUUUUGGAAACAUUGCACGUCAUAUCAUGAAAAAUAGAAUUUCUUAGCAAAGUAAAUGAGUAUCUCAGUGUUCAACAAGCCUGUAAGGUCAGAUCAGAGCUUCAUAACUGAAAAGAUUUUUUACAGAUUUAGGAUACAGACAUUAAGCCGUGGGUAUUGUGAAUUUUGAAAAUGGGAACAAAGAUCCAGUCAAGUUUUUACUUAUUUUAUUUUUUCCUAUUCUUGAGGAGUUGUUCCAUUUGCUGGGUCUGAGGCCGUAUGAGGCCAUAGAAAACACCACCUUGGAUGUGGCCAUAGUCCUAAGUCCCUGCUCUGACAGGGACUGUGGCUCACGAGCUGUUGUGUAUUGCUUUGAUAUGAUUUCAAAUCGACUUGUUUAUGACUUAGAUGAAGUUAGCGAAGUUUUUUUUUUUUUUUUAAUUUUUGGUGAGGAAGAAUCGCCCUGAGCUAACAUCCAUUGCCAAUUUUCCUCGUUUUUUGCUUGAGGAAGAUUAGCUCUGAGGUAACCUCUGUGCCAACCUUCCUCCACCUUGCAUGUGGGAUACCUUGUUUUAAUCCACUUGUUUAUGACAAGGAAAGAAAGAAAGAAAAGCAGUUGUUAUUUUGAUGUAAGAAUGAAGUAAGUCAGGAUAUCGUCAGCUCAUCUGUUGUUGAUAAGACCUCAGUAGCUGAGCUGAUGACGAACACUGCCUGGGGCUUAUUGAUAAGAACAUGGGAAGAAAACACUAUGGCAAGGGGACAUUUAGACCAUAAAUACCCAGAGUUUGUGAGGAAUAUCAGAGACUUUUGUUUGGGGCAAGACACUCUUUGCUGAUCUAAAUAAACUGUCUGAAGACCUUGGGACAUUAACUCCUACUGUGGUAAGGGUGACUCCCUUCCUGGUAAUGACAAAAGCUGCGCAGGGGCCCCUGGAAGCUUAUCCUGCCCACCGGCACCGGGGCCAUCCUUCCCUGGCAAUGUGCUCUAGCAACAGGGGACUUCUCACUUUGACUUUGCGCUGGCAGCUGGACAUCAGCUCUCGGGUGGUCAAGCCAUCUCUCCUGAGUGCCUGCUCCUAUAAAAAGACAUGGAACUUUUUCAAAGAAGCCAAGCUUCAUUCCCUCAUACAGGCUUUCAAAAGAAUCUGAGGUCAUUUUGGUAUUUUGGAUUCUCACCUACCUCUAAGGCAUCAACAAAUCGCCUUUCAGACAAAUCUCCUCAGAGAACACACCCUGGUUAUCAGCUGCAAAGGCCUGUCAUCAGCCUGCGCUGCCUCAUCUUGUCCCUCCAGCUUCUGCCUCCCCACUCCCGCAUGUCUGAACACACCGUGUCUGCUGGAUAAAGAGCUUCUGGCUGGGGCUGGAGCCUCCCUCCCGGGAAAGAAAGAGCUGCCUACAGAGCAUCAGAGUAAUUCUAACUCAGGCAUGACUCAGCUCUUCUGUGGCCUUCCUCUCAUUUCACCUUGAUUAGGCUGAUGUGCUGGUCCUACUUGUGGAGAUAGAUGUCUUCUUCCCCUGCUUCUCCCUGCUUCAAUUUCAGGAGAGAAAAUCCC
rnacentral:lncRNA from 1 species